rnacentral:lncRNA from 1 species
UCGGCCAGGCCUGAGAUGCCGGGAGGGUUUGACCCUGGGGCUGCAUGGACAGCUUAGCGCUCGGCCGCUGGCGACAGCGGAGGGCGGAGGAUCUGCAGGUUCCGGGGGACGUGACAUGUUUUGAGCGCCUGCUGUGUCUCAAGCCCUGUCCUAGGCACUGGAGAUGAGAUGAAGAAACGAUGAGUAGAGGCCUUGCUUACGUUUAUCCUGCAACUCAUGAUGAGGCUUACUCUGCAACUCCAGUGCUCGGCUUUUUACACAACAGAGUCUCUGUUGCCCAGGCUGGAGUACAGUCGCACGAUCUUGGCUCACUGCAACCUCUGCCUCUCAGGUUCGAGUGAUUCUUCUGCCUCAGCCUCCCAAGUUGCUGGGAUUACAGAAACGGGUAUGCAGGAGAUUAGAAGCCAGUGGGCAUGAGCGUGGCUGCCACCAGGUGAAUGCCUGUGCCCUGGCGUCCUGGGGCCCAGAGGACCGGGAGCUUCCAUCAAGAGGCUGCCUCCCAGCACCAAGGCCAGAGAGUGGCCAGGGGAGGCUAAGUACAGGGAUUUCUCAGAAUGGUGGAAGGAGCUCAGCCCAGCCUUGCCCAAGAUGUAUUGCAGGGGAAUCUAUGGAGUUUUGCUCUCGUUGCCCACGCUGGAGUGCAAUGGCAUGAUCUCAGCUCACUGCAACCUCCGCUUCCCAGGUUCAAGCGAUUCUCCUGCCUCAGCCACCCAAGUAGUUGGGAUUACAGGGACAUUUUAGCCAUACCAAGAAUCAUUAGAAGAUGCAAGCUGGAAAAAAGAAGGUCCCAGUUUUGGUUUUGAACCCUUCAUGUUGCAGCAAAUGUGAAUCUCCUACAGAUGGGUUUGGGGACUUACCUGUUCAAAUAGCAGCCCGGUGUCCUCUGUGGGUGGGGGGAGGUUUGUCUGUCCUUUCAUUCUAGUAAAUCCACCAUCCUCUGCACGAGAGCCAGGAGAAUCCACAUCACUUCAAAAGAGCCCCCAAAUCCUUACUACGUACUACAGCCUCCUUUCGAAUGUUCCUGGUUGAGAGGGAGAUCAAUUGCAUUAUUUACAAGUCAAAAAAUUUUGUAUCAAACUUCCUAUGAGCUUGGGCACUCAUGGCCUAUGGAGGCCCACCCAGACGCAGCCCCGCCAUCAUGCUUUUUCGUUGUUUUGUGGAUGUACCCAGGGCUAUUUACACACUCUUUCAUUAAAAGGCUUAUUUUUAUAUUUAAA